GAUGAACGCUGGCGGCGUGCCUAAUACAUGCAAGUCGAGCGAACAGACGAGGAGCUUGCUCCUCUGACGUUAGCGGCGGACGGGUGAGUAACACGUGGAUAACCUACCUAUAAGACUGGGAUAACUUCGGGAAACCGGAGCUAAUACCGGAUAAUAUAUUGAACCGCAUGGUUCAAUAGUGAAAGACGGUUUUGCUGUCACUUAUAGAUGGAUCCGCGCCGCAUUAGCUAGUUGGUAAGGUAACGGCUUACCAAGGCAACGAUGCGUAGCCGACCUGAGAGGGGGGUCGGCCGAAAGGGAACGGAGAAACGGUCCAGAAGCCUACGGGAGGAAGCAGUAGGGAAGAUUCCGCAAUGGGCGAAAGCAUGACGGAGCAACGCCGCGGGAGGGAUGAAGGUCUUCGGAUCGUAAAAAUCUGUUAUUGGGGAAGAACAAAGGUGUAAGUAACUAUGCACGUCUUGACGGUACCUAAUCAGAAAGCCACGGCUAACUACGUG
rnacentral:rRNA from 1 species